rnacentral:rRNA from 1 species
UAGUAAUCGUAGGUCAGCAUACUACGGUGAAUACGUUCCCGGGCCUUGUACACACCGCCCGUCAAACCAUGAGAGUUGGCAACACCGAAGUCGGUAGUCUAACCGCAAGGAGGACGCCGCCGAAGGUGGGUUGAUGAUUAGGGUUAAGUCGUAACAAGGUAUC